rnacentral:rRNA from 1 species
GACGAACGCUGGCGGCGUGCUUAACACAUGCAAGUCGAACGGGCCCGCCCCUGUUUUUGGGGGUGGGUUGAGUGGCGAACGGGUGAGUAUCACGUGAGUAACCUGCCCCCUGCUCCUGGAUAACUGCUUGAAAGGGCGGCUAAUACGGGGUGUGCCGGCUGGUCCGCAUGGGCCUGGUCGGGAUAGUUUCAUCUUCGGGUGUUUCGGUGGGGGAUGGGCUCGCGGCCUAUCAGCUUGUUGGUGGGGUGAUGGCCCACCAAGGCGGUGACGGGUAGCCGGCCUGAGAGGGUGGGCGGCCACACUGGGACGGAGACACGGCCCAGACUCCUGCGGGAGGCAGCAGGGGGGGGUAGUGCACAAUGGGCGGAAGCCUGAUGCAGCGACGUCGCGUGAGGGAGGGAGGCCUUCGGGUUGUGAACCUCUUUCUCCGGUGGUGAAGGCCCUGUCCGGUGCGGCGGGGUUGACGGUAGCCGGGGAUGAAGCGCCGGCUAACUACGUG